rnacentral:tRNA from 1 species
GCAGGGGUGGCAGAGCCUGGUCAAAUGCGCUAGCUUGAGGGGCUAGUCCCUUAGUGGGUGCGCGAGUUCGAAUCUCGUCCCCUGCA